rnacentral:rRNA from 1 species
GAUGAACGCUGGCGGCGUGCCUAAUACAUGCAAGUCGAGCGAACAGACAAGGAGCUUGCUCCUUUGACGUUAGCGGCGGACGGGUGAGUAACACGUGGAUAACCUACCUAUAAGACUGGGAUAACUUCGGGAAACCGGGGCUAAUACCGGAUAAUAUUUCGAACCGCAUGGUUCAAAAGUGAAAGAUGGUUUUGCUGUCACUUAUAGAUGGACCCGCGCCGUAUUAGCUAGUUGGUAAGGUAACGGCUUACCAAGGCAACGAUACGUAGCCGACCUGAGAGGGUGAUCGGCCACACUGGAACUGAGACACGGUCCAGACUCCUACGGGAGGCAGCAGUAGGGAAUCUUCCGCAAUGGGCGAAAGCCUGACGGAGCAACGCCGCGUGAGUGAUGAAGGUCUUCGGAUCGUAAAACUCUGUUAUUAGGGAAGAACAAAUGUGUAAGUAACUGUGCACGUCUUGACGGUACCUAAUCAGAAAGCCACGGCUAACUACGUG